GAUGAAGAACGCAGCGAAAUGCGAUAAGUAAUGUGAAUUGCAGAAUUCAGUGAAUCAUCGAAUCUUUGAACGCACAUUGCGCCCAUUAGUAUUCUAGUGGGCAUGCCUGUUCGAGCGUCAUUUCAACCCUCAAGCCUUAGUUGCUUGGUGUUGGGUGACUGUCCGCUUCACCGCGGACUCGCCUCAAAAUUAUUGGCGGCCGGUACAUUGGCUUCGAGCGCAGCAGAAACGCGAACUCGGGCCCGUCGUAUUGGCUCCCAGAAGCUAUCUUCACAAUUUUGACCUCGGAUCAGGUAGGGAUACCCGCUGAACUUAAGCAUAUCAAUAAGCGGAGGA
rnacentral:misc_RNA from 1 species